CUGGCUGGAGGGCGGCAAGAGCUUCAAGCAGAAUUUUCCACGGGGAGGCCUCAGCUGCUUUGCCAGGGAGCGGAGGAAACAGGCUGUGCGCCGGUCCGGGUGCUCUCGGGGUGGCCCAGGCUGCCCAUGCUGGACGAGGGUUGGCCCCUGGCACCUCUCAAGUCCUGUAUGUGGCUGACUCGGGUUGGCAGUUGAGCCGAGCCUGAGGCCCGUUUGCCAGGCUCCGUCUUGAGGUGAAAACAAACCAAGCAUUGUGCAGUCCUCACCCACAGACAGCGUGUUGCAGCCUGACCCUCGUCCUGGGUGCCAAGCCCGGGAAGAACCAACAAACUUUUUUUAAUAUAAAAAGAUCAAUGAGAAAUUUAUUUAUAAAUUCUUCACGUUGGGCUACCAGUCUAUAUCGUACACUCAGGAAUGUGCUGCAGACUUCAGUUCAACGUGGUCACACGGGGACCCACACACAGCUUCCAUACGAGCCUAGAAAGUCUUAACAUUAAUUAACAUAAUUAAAAAGGUAUUUGCAUCUAGAAAAAAUAUACAGAAAAACUCCUUUUGGAGUAAUCUGUGCCUCAGUUUCAAUGUCUGCUUGUUUCACUGACAUUAUCAAUAUAUUCUUCUCACACAAGGUUUUAUAAAAAGCCACAGAUGACUGCCCGAAUCUGACUAGCCACGCACAAAGGGCCUCCACCCACCUGUGUCCUCAAGUGCUCCCCAUUUUUGCACGAAGGGUCAGCAGCCCUUCUACCCAGGGGAAGCCUCAUUUAAAUUUGAAUAAUUCAGCCUCCCUUUUAUUUCUCCGGAUCAAAACAACAAGGGGUGUGGGGUUGCAUAGAAAAUUGGAACUUCGCAGACCAGGAAAGGCGCCUUUCGAGACAGAAAGUAACGAAGAAGCACCACCUCCGGCCCAGGUCCUUCAACUCACUCAGCAAUUAGCACAAGCGAUUCACAGUCUUAUAGGUAUUUUAUAAAAAUAUAAAUAUGGGUACACUGUUGCCUUCACAACGCUGGAUACAACGCCCUUUAAAAUUGGGUUUAUAACCAAGAUUUUAAAAAUACACCUAAAACUUGGCUUAAAAUAUGUUAAUAUUUUAUAUUGUCAUAAAUGUUAUGACAUUUAAUCGUGGCAAAUCCAUUUACUUUUUAAAAAAGUGUGCAACCAACUGUUAACUAUAAGAGAACCGCUAGAAAAGUCUGGUCCCCUCCACGCCCCCACCACACC
rnacentral:lncRNA from 1 species